rnacentral:rRNA from 1 species
GACGAACGCUGGCGGCGUGCUUAACACAUGCAAGUCGAACGAUGAAGCUGGAGCUUGCUCUGGCGGAUUAGUGGCGAACGGGUGAGUAACACGUGAGAAAUCUGCCCUUGACUCUGGGAUAACUGCGGGAAACUGUAGCUAAUACCGGAUACUUUCCCUGGUGGGCAUCCACUGGGGAAGAAAGAAUUUCGGUCAAGGAUGAUCUCGCGGCCUAUCAGCUUGUUGGUGAGGUAAAGGCUCACCAAGGCGACGACGGGUAGCCGGCCUGAGAGGGUGACCGGCCACACUGGGACUGAGACACGGCCCAGACUCCUACGGGAGGCAGCAGUGGGGAAUAUUGCACAAUGGGCGCAAGCCUGAUGCAGCAACGCCGCGUGAGGGAUGACGGCCUUCGGGUUGUAAACCUCUUUUAGCAGGGAAGAAGCGAAAGUGACGGUACCUGCAGAAAAAGCACCGGCUAACUACGUGCCAGCAGCCGCCGCAG